rnacentral:rRNA from 1 species
GAUGAACGCUGGCGGCGUGCCUAAUACAUGCAAGUCGAGCGAACAGACGAGGAGCUUGCUCCUCUGACGUUAGCGGCGGACGGGUGAGUAACACGUGGAUAACCUACCUAUAAGACUGGGAUAACUUCGGGAAACCGGAGCUAAUACCGGAUAAUAUAUUGAACCGCAUGGUUCAAUAGUGAAAGACGGUUUUGCUGUCACUUAUAGAUGGAUCCGCGCCGCAUUAGCUAGUUGGUAAGGUAACGGCUUACCAAGGCGACGAUGCGUAGCCGACCUGAGAGGGUGAUCGGCCACACUGGAACUGAGACACGGUCCAGACUCCUACGGGAGGCAGCAGUAGGGAAUCUUCCGCAAUGGGCGAAAGCCUGACGGAGCAACGCCGCGUGAGUGAUGAAGGACUUCGGAUCGUAAAACUCUGUUAUUAGGGAAGAACAAAUGUGUAAGUAACUAUGCACGUCUUGACGGUACCUAAUCAGAAAGCCACGGCUAACUACGUG